rnacentral:rRNA from 1 species
GAGCGUUGGGGGCAAGCCUAACACAUGCAAGUCGAGCGGAAGAGAGGUGCUUGCACCUCUUGAGAGCGGCGGACGGGUGAGUAAUGCCUAGGAAUCUGCCUGGUAGUGGGGGAUAACGUUCGGAAACGAACGCUAAUACCGCAUACGUCCUACGGGAGAAAGCAGGGGACCUUCGGGCCUUGCGCUAUCAGAUGAGCCUAGGUCGGAUUAGCUAGUUGGUGAGGUAAUGGCUCACCAAGGCGACGAUCCGUAACUGGUCUGAGAGGAUGAUCAGUCACACUGGAACUGAGACACGGUCCAGACUCCUACGGGAGGCAGCAGUGGGGAAUAUUGGACAAUGGGCGAAAGCCUGAUCCAGCCAUGCCGCGUGUGUGAAGAAGGUCUUCGGAUUGUAAAGCACUUUAAGUUGGGAGGAAGGGUUGUAGAUUAAUACUCUGCAAUUUUGACGUUACCGACAGAAUAAGCACCGGCUAACUCUGUGCCAGCAGCCGCGGUAAUACAGAGGGUGCAAGCGUUAAUCGGAAUUACUGGGCGUAAAGCGCGCGUAGGUGGUUUGUUAAGUUGGAUGUGAAAGCCCCGGGCUCAACCUGGGAACUGCAUUCAAAACUGUCGAGCUAGAGUAUGGUAGAGGGUGGUGGAAUUUCCUGUGUAGCGGUGAAAUGCGUAGAUAUAGGAAGGAACACCAGUGGCGAAGGCGACCACCUGGACUGAUACUGACACU